CAUGCUACGCGGUAGUAGCAUGCUAGGGAGCAG
rnacentral:misc_RNA from 1 species